rnacentral:rRNA from 1 species
UACAGAGGUCCCAAGCGUUGUUCGGAUUCACUGGGCGUAAAGGGUGCGUAGGUGGUGGGGUAAGUUUGAUGUGAAAGCUCCGAGCUUAACCCGGAAAUGGCAUUGAAUACUAUCUCGCUUGAGGGUUGGAGGGGAGACUGGAAUUCUUGGUGUAGCAGUGAAAUGCGUAGAUAUCAAGAGGAACACCAGUGGCGAAGGCGAGUCUCUGGACAACUCCUGACACUGAGGCACGAAAGCUAGGGGAGCAAACAGG